rnacentral:lncRNA from 1 species
CUGUAACGCUCACUGCGAAGGUCUGUGGCUUCACUCCUGAAGUCAGCAAGACCACGAACCCACCGGAAGGAGGAAACAACUCCGGAAGCACCACGUUUAAGAGCUGUAACACUCACUGCGAAAGUCUGCAGCUUCACUCCUGAAGUCAGCAAGACCACAAACCCACCGGAAGGAAGAAAUUCCAGACACAUCUAAACAUUGGAAGGAACAAACUCCAGACACACUAUCUUUAAGAACUGUAACACUCACCGCGAGGGUCUGUGGCUUCAUGCUUGAAGUCAGCCGGACCAAGAACCCACCGGAAAGAACCAAUUCCUGACACAAUCGUUCUUCAUGGUCUAUGACUCCAAGGUCUGAAAUGAUCUCAUUUACCCCACAUGAUAGAUGUGGCCCUUCCAGAUGAGGAGUUCAACAAGACUACAUGGUAGAGCAGCCAGAGAACCCACUGGAAAUAAGGCUCAAAAUAAGGAGUAACCACAAAAUAAGAGACAGAGAAUGCUGAUUCACUAUGCAGUGAAACAUGCCUAACGUGUCAACAGCUAAAUGCCCGGUGACAGUGUGGUUGUCUGGGCAACAGAAGAAGUCACCCACGCAAACACUUAAAGGACCAUACUUAUUUUACAAGAGGAACAGUUUUCAAUGGAAUGGAUAUUAAAACACACACCUGGAUCCCUUUACCACAGGUGCUUUGAGAGGCACCAUCAAGGACAGUGAGCUAACGCAGGAGAAUGGAGUCCCAGAAACCUAGGAGGAGAAGACAAAGUGUCAGCCUCUCGGCAUCUGCAGUGUUGCUAGGAAAAGAGCUCUGAUCCCAGGGGCUUACCCACUUCCACAGGUAGGAAGCGUCCCUGAGAGGACUGGAACAUUAGCAUAUCUCAGAUCCAUCUGCAAAACUUUUGCAAACACGGAACUCCCUCGUUCUAAUCUUAUCAGCAACUUCCAGAGCUGAACCUUGAUUAAUCUGGAUACAAAAAGGAUUGAAACGCCACAUAAUAAGCAUUAACAGGAGGGUGUUUCCUUUAUCAAUGAAGCUUGAUUUAUCCAUGAUGAUCUAGUGCAUUCUCCUCCCAAAAAUCAGGAUCAUCCUCUGCAUAUGAAGGAACAGACAAGCCCUCAGCUCUACCACUUUGGAGAGGGGGGGAUUGGACAGCAUGAGCCUUCAAUUGUAUCUCUUGGAUGACCAAGGAAGGCUGGAUUUCUGCACCUAAAAAAUGGAAGCACAAACUGUACAACAAAUACUCUCCAUUCAAGUUGAAGUUCUCAAAUAAGGUAUCCAAUUAACCAAUGUAUUAAUAACAUUGAAAAUAAUAAUCUCAUAGGAAGAUUCCAAAAAUUUCUGGUUUUAUAUCUAGCAAAAACUUCAUGCACUAUGUUUGAUUUGUAUGUAGAACUCAGGGUGAACAUGCCAGUGACAGUGGCAAUGAGAGGGGUAACUGGGGGCCAGAAGCAGGCUGAGGGAGAGGAGAGGAGGGGGCAGAGUGUGCUCAGGGAACCAUGAGCCAUGCAGGAUAAGCAAUAGGGCAGAAUAAACAGGACAUACCCAUCUGUUUAUUCUCUCUGUAUAAUGUUUUGAUUCUCUUUGUACCCUAACUAACCAAGGCACAGCUCAGGAAGUUGCUGCCAGGAUUAGAAAAAGGGAGUUGCACAUUCUCAAAAAGCAAUGGUACAGUGCAAAGAAUGGUAAUUAAUCCCCCAGCACACUUGACCCAGCCCCUAAAGAACUUUGUGACCUUGGGCCAGGCAGGCAGCUCCCAGGCUUCUGUUUUGUCAUUUUUGACCUCUUCUGGCUGCAGUGAUUCAUUUCCAGAUAUAGGUUGCUUCAGCUCAUCUCAAAGUCUUCUUGUAGCCUGUUCUUUGAGAAAUGGUAAUAUAUCUCUUGAAAAGUUUCUUUUUCUUGCAAAGUCACCCAAUUCAUGAGUUAAUGAGGUCCCACCAGUGAUACGAUUGCAGAGUCACAAAUAUCACUAACUGAAAGGAGUAGAAGGAAGGCGGGAAUUGCAGACACACCAUGAGUGGGUGGCCUCCAGGAGAUACACGUGAGACCAGCCCUGUGGUGGGCCAGGUCAGAAGGACUUCUGCUUAGACUAGGUGGAAACUUCUCAGCAUUCUGAGGAGUACCACCAUCUGACUGGCAGUUUGAAGGUAUCACUUGGGCUGCUGUAUCAAGAAUAGACUUCAGAAGACAAGUUGAACGUAGCAAGACCAGUGAGAAAGGUGUCAUAGCCGUCCAAGUGCAGGGUGGCAGUGGAGAUAGGAGUUAUAUUAAGGAGAGAGUCACCAGGAUUUGCUGAUGGGUUAGGUGUGGGCUGUGGAAGAAAGAUCAAAGUCAAGAAUGACUCCAAUGACAUUGUCCUAAGCAAUUGGAAUGAUGAAAUCACAGUUGUUGAGAUGGGGAACCUGCACAUGGAGUGAGUCUGGAGGAGAGAUUAGUUGUUUGGCUUUGGCCAUGCUGAGUUUCAGAUGUGUUUCGACACACAUGUGGAGGGGUUACGCUUGAAUGUCUGAGUCUGACUUUUGUAUUGAGAUGUUCCUAUCCUACUUCUUCCUACCUCCACCCUGCAAAGGAUGGCCAUGGUUAUCUUCAGUGCCCCCACAAAGCUCUGUGCAGAUUCCUGGUAUGUCACAUUUAUUUCAAAUGGCUUUACUGAGAUGUAAUUGAUAUAUAGUUCACCCAUUUAAAUUGGACAAUUGAAUGGUUUUUAGUAUAUUCACAGAGUUUUGAUCAUGUGUAACAUGGUCUAUUUUUAGAAUAUUUUUGUCACCCCUUCCCCUCUAAAAAACCUCAUAGCCAUUAGGAAACAUUCUCCAUUUCCUAGCAUGGUAUUUUAAAAUAGUGACAAUUCCUAUUUUCAAGUCUGUCAGUAAGCCUCUUAAUGGUAGGGACUUCCGUGUUAUUUGUUUUUGCAUUUCACCCUGUAACAAUUACUCAAAAAAGCUGUUGUAUGAAUGAACUACAGUUUGAAAAAUACGACCCCAAGACUGUGUGUCUUUAAGAGAGAACCAACCCUUUGCAUUCCGGUGCUCUUCGUAUGGCUGCCUGUAGCAUUUUUCAGAUCUAGUUGAGAAACCGAUGGGAGGAUAUGGAGAUAAGUCUCAUUACUCUUUUCUUUCUUGGCUAUACUUCUCUAGCAUCUGUUGUAAACAAAACAGAAAAGAGUCUUUCUAAACCUGGUGAAAAUAUCUCAAAUGCAAGGAAGCCAGUGAUGAAAAAUGCAAUAUCAAAGUUCGGGCUGUUACAAACACAUGGCAUAAAUCACAUCUGCUCAUUAAACUUAUUACAAAGAAUGAUAACAAAAGCAAAGAGAUGUCUGAAAAUGUCUUGGGAAAAAUAAAGUAGCUAAUAAAUUCGUGGUUUUACUGUUUUAUGUCAUAAGGAUGGAUAUAAUUUCAUUUGGGACAAAUGUUUCUGGACUCAGACUACAGACUACAGAUUUGGAGCUGAAGGCCACUACCAAGGCAAUCUCCUCUAACAUCUUCAUUUCAGAGCUGAUGAGCUAGAUAGUCAUGCCCUGUGACCUCUCAGCUGGUUAUGGCAGAGCUCGCCCAAGAGCAAGGGGCGUAAUAUAUUAAUUAGUUUAAACUGAUAUGCGUUAUGUACUAACAGGGUCUGGGCAGACCAGUAGCAUCUAAAUAUUAUUCUAAGAGUCAGAAGCUUUUUUUCCAAUAAAGCCUUAUGCUGAAAACAAUAAUUAUGGCAGAAUCCUUCUGAUGGAGCCUGGGGGGUGGACUGCUUUUUCCCUCUGCUGCUGCAGCCCUGACGUGGUUUAGUGUGUCCUGGGACUAUCCCUUUGACAUCCCUCCUCUGUAUUCUUCUGAAAUACAGGACCCAUCCACUGCAUAUAGUCACAAGUUUACUUGCUUCUCUUCCCUCCUAAACUGUGGAAUCUCUCAACAUAAUGAUUGUGUCUUACACAAAACUGCAUAUCUCAGUUUCUGAACUCAGGAAAUAUUAACUUUGUUCUUUGACUUGCCAGGUUCUUUUCAAGGUGUUGGUGACACAGAUAUGAGGAAAACAGAGUUGACUCAUGGUGAUGGAGCUUACAUUCUAUGGGGCAAGAGUGAGCAGAGGGUAAAUCAUGAAAUAAAGAACUUACUAUAGACACAUAUUGUGGGGAAAAUACAGCAGCAGAAGAUAAUAGGAAGUGUCAGGACAUUUGGAGUGGCUAAAUCUGCUGUUUUUUUUUUUUUUCCAGAAUGUGGACAAGAAGACAUCUUCAAUAAAGUGACAUUUAUAUAGAGACAUAAAGAAAUGGAGGGGGAGCCAUGCAUAUCAAGGAACAUAAGUGCAAAGGCCUUGAGUUAGAAUCCUGUAGGGUGAUUUGUAGAAACAGUAAGGCCAGAGAGGAACACAGCUGGAACAGAGUGAAUUAGGAGAUGUGAACAGAAAGGUCGCAGGGAGUCAGGUUAUUUAGGACUCUGUAGGCCAUUGUAAAUAUUUGGGAUGGGACACUGGGCAGAGGAGUAACAUCAUCUCAUUUCAGUUUUGAAAGGUUCACUCCAGCUACUCUGUUGACAAUGGAUUAUAGAAGACUGAACAUGGAAUCCAGGAGACCAGUCAGAAAACUUCUUCAGGAAUCCAGCACAGUAAUGGCAAAUUCAUCCUUCCCCUUUAUUAGGCCUCUCUACUCCACAUUUUUCAUUGCCUGCAUUCCAAUCCAUCUGCAAAUCCUUUGGCUGUACCACCUAAAUAUGCUCAGAAUCUAAUCACUUCUUAUCACCUCCACUGUUCCCCAUCUAAGGCACCCUCAUGUCUCAUCUCAUUAUUGCCAUUAGCUUCCCAGCCUCAAUCCUCUCUAUUGCUUCCUCUUAACACAAUAGCCUGUGGUUCUUUGAAAAUGUCAGUCAGAAGCAGAAAAUGGCAGAGUAGGGAACUCUAAAACUGUUUCUUCACUAAAGCAACAAUAAAGUUGGCAUAAACUAUUAGGUUAACUUUUUAAAACUAAGGAAUCUAAUAAAAAAUAUACAACAAUAAAAGAAGUGUUUCACAAAGAAAGAAGCUCCUAAAUUUCAGCAAAAGAGUAUUGUGGUGCUUUAACUUACCUAUACAAUUUACCACUUUCCAGCUUGGUGGUAGCUGUGGGGCUGGCUGCCCAUGUUAUUGACAUAACUUGAUGGCCCCAGAGGAGGCACUUAGUCUCAAACAAUUAUGAUUGUAUGUCUGUCUGGUGGCUCCCCGAGUGAUUGGUGAGGGAAUUCCCUAUGUUUCACAUGCCUCUGAACUUUCUCAGGCCUGAAGCAGCCUCCUGAGUGGCAUUUAAAGAAAUCAUUUAAGGCAAACAUACUCACUGCUGCUGCCUGGGGAAGGUUAUAACAGAUAGCAAAAGCAGCAGACAGACUAGAAAGGUUAGGAAAAGUCAGGGAAAGAAUAUAAAUGUGAGAAUAAGUAUUUUAAUAGAUUCCACAUAAUUGGAUAACCUGGAAGUCCACACAAAUGCCCAGGACUAGACAUGCUCAGAAAAGACUGGAGAACACCAUGAACUUUCAUCUCUGGCUCCUGUCUUUAGGCUCCCGUGAAGCUGAAAGUGGACAUUAAGCAAAUGUAAAUGGCCUAGCUAAGCAUUAAAGGAAUGCUCAAACACGUAGCC